UAGGGGUGAUAAGUCUGAAUAGAACACACCUCAGCUGUGGCGAAAUCAGUGAUGUCGACACCACAAACUAACAAGGAACUAUGUUUAUAACCACAGGUGGAGAACUGUAGUUCCAACCACACAACUUUGUGAUGCAGUUUGCGAAUGUUCGUUGGACUAUGUUUGAAACGAUGGAACUUGCGACCAUAGUUGUCUAACGAUAGUUUUGGGAAACGCACCCCUGAAUGAUAAUAUUGUGUUGAAUUCUUUGAUCGUAGUAAAUGUGACUAUGACUGUGAUAGUUUAAACUUAUAACAUCUCAGAGUAUCAUAAUGCAUUCUAGUGUUUAUGUUUCAGAGUUUGGCUGUGAGAGGAAAUAAGAUGAGGAAAUGUAUUUCUACAGACUCAUAUUGUGACCACAUCUGCAGAAUUUCUUCAUGGGGAAUCAGUAUUUAGAGGUCUUCCUGUCAGUUCUUGGAUCAGUAUCACUUGAGCGGCCAACAAGCUAAGUAAAUGGAUAAACAGGACGCUUUGGACGGCAUCAGCUCAAUCACAGCGAUGGAGAAAGAUUACUUCUCAGUGAUUUCUCAGAUCUUCUACUAUCUGACAUUUCUGCUCGGAGUUCCAGGAAAUGUCUUUGUUGUGUACAUCGCUGGAAUGAAGAUGAAGAGGACCGUUAAUACGAUAUGGUUCCUUAAUCUAGCGAUUGCAGACCUCCUGUGCUGCUUUUCCACACUGUGCAAUAUAAUACUGUACUUUAUUGAUCACUGGCCAUUUGGAUCUGUCAUGUGCAAGAUUCUCCCAUUGGUUAUACAUGUCAACAUGUUUGCCAGUGUCUUCACCUUGAGUUUGAUUAGUCUGGAUCGGUUUACACAGGUGAUCACACCAGUUUGGGCUAAAAAUCAUCGCAGUCUGUUGCUUGCACGACUGUCCUGUGUAGUGGCCUGGGUCCUGGCUAUAGCUCUUAAUGUGCCCUUUGUGAUAUUAAGAAGAACCUUUAUAUAUAAUAACAAAACAUACUGCAUAGCUUUUGGUCAUAAUGACUUUGAAACAUUUGGAAAGUUAUGUGUUAUUAGCUUUGUGUUUGGUUUUUUGAUUCCUCUCAUAUGCAUCACGACAUGUUAUGGAUUCAUCGCACGAAAGUUAGGCAGGAGUCGUUUUCACUCUGGACGAGCGUUUCGCAUCAUGUCAGCUGUUAUUGUGGCCUUUUUUCUGUGUUGGCUGCCGUACCACACUGUGUUGUUGGUCCGGAUGUUUGGUGUGAAUCAAAGUAUCAUGGUGGCCCGGAGGCUUAUCCCAUUGGUCGUCUCUUUGGCGUAUUUCAACAGCUGUCUGAAUCCAGUUCUGUAUUUUUUCAUAGGGCAGGAUAUUAAGGAGAAGUUUAAACUUUCAAUAAAGUUAAAACAUGUUUUUGAAAGAGCUUUCUCUGAGGAGGGGACACAAAUACCACAAUCCACCGAGGCACAACAAAUGCAAUCAUUGUAGUUUGAAAAGUAACUAAUUUAUUCAGUCUUUUCUGAAUAAUAAACCUUUCGUCAGAAUAACUUUAGCCAAAUCCUCUUCUACACAAUUUUCUUUAAGAAAAAUUAUUUUGCCAUAUUUUUUUCUUUUCAAAACUAUCACAUAUCGCAAUCUGAAAUGUCUGAUGUGUAAAAUGAACUGAUGUAAAAUGAUAAAACAUAACAGGUAGUGUAUUCUAGAACUUUUAGGAAGUGUGUCUGGUGUCCUGUGCAUUUCAUUUAGAUUUAUUUAAAGUAUCAGUAAGUAAUUUUUCAAGUUUAUAUUAAAAAUAUAUCCUUCAGGUAACAACUGCAUGUAACCAUGGUGUAAAAUAUACUGUGUAGAAACAUUUGCAAUGUAACGUGGAGAAUAUAGAGAAGGAAUUUGCCCAAAACUUUUUUAUUUUUUUUUUAUUAUUAUAUUUUAUUUGAUAAAGAAUUGUUUAUGUCUGUUGAAUUGAAAUAAACUGGUUCAUGGAAGUGUGUGUGUUC